rnacentral:rRNA from 1 species
UGGGGAAUAUUGCACAAUGGAGGGAACUCUGAUGCAGCGACGCCGCGUGAGUGAAGAAGUAUUUCGGUAUGUAAAGCUCUAUCAGCAGGGAAGAGAAUGACGGUACCUGACUAAGAAGCACCGGCUAAAUACGUGCCAGCAGCCGCGGUAAUACGUAUGGUGCAAGCGUUAUCCGGAUUUACUGGGUGUAAAGGGAGCGCAGGUGGCAUGGCAAGCCAGAAGUGAAAGCCCGGGGCUUAACCGCGGGACUGCUUUGGAAACUGUGGAUCUAGAGUGCCGGAGAGGUAAGCGGAAUUCCUAGUGUAGCGGUGAAAUGCGUAGAUAUUAGGAGGAACACCAGUGGCGAAGGCGGCUUACUGGACGGUAACUGACGUUGAGGCUCGAAAGCGUGGGGAGCAAACAGGAUUAGAUACC